UACAGAGGGUGCGAGCGUUAAUCGGAAUUACUGGGCGUAAAGCGUGCGUAGACGGUUAUUUAAGUCGGGUGUGAAAGCCCCGGGCUCAACCUGGGAAUUGCAUUCGAGACUGAAUAGCUAGGGUACGGUAGAGGGAAGCGGAAUUUCCGGUGUAGCGGUGAAAUGCGUAGAGAUCGGAAAGAACACCAGCGGCGAAAGCACUCUGCUGGGCCGACACUGACACUGAGAGACGAAAGCUAGGGGAGCGAAUGGG
rnacentral:rRNA from 1 species